UACGUAAGUGGCGAGCGUUAUCCGGAAUUACUGGGCGUAAAGAGCGCGCAGGCGGUCGUUCAAGUCGAGUGUGAAAGCCCCCGGCUCAACUGGGGAGGGUCACUCGAUACUGAUCGACUCGAAGGCAGAAGAGGGAAGCGGAAUUCCCGGUGUAGUGGUGAAAUGCGUAGAUAUCGGGAGGAACACCAGUGGCGAAGGCGGCUUUCUGGUCUGCUCUUGACGCUGAGGCGCGAAAGCUAGGGUAGCAAACGGG
rnacentral:rRNA from 1 species